UUACCUGGUCUUGACAUCCCGGAGACCCUUAGGAAACUAGGGGUGCUCCAUCUGGAAGAAUCUGGAGACAGGUGCUGCAUGGCUGUCGUCAGCUCGUGUCGUGAGAUGUUGGGUUAAGUCCCGCAACGAGCGCAACCCUUGCCUUUAGUUGCCAGCAGUUCGGCUGGGCACUCUAAAGGGACUGCCGGUGUUAAACCGGAGGAAGGUGGGGAUGACGUCAAGUCCUCAUGGCCUUUAUGACCAGGGCUACACACGUACUACAAUGGCCGAUACAAAGGGCAGCGACACUGCGAGGUGAAGCCAAUCCCGUAAAAUCGGUCUCAGUCCGGAUUGGAGUCUGCAACUCGACUCCAUGAAGUUGGAAUCGCUAGUAAUCGUGGAUCAGCAUGCCACGGUGAAUACGUUCCCGGGCCUU
rnacentral:rRNA from 1 species